CGCUCAGUGAGUGCCUGGAGUUUUAGGAUGCUGGGUUACCGCGGAUUUUUGAAAAUCAACAUGACACGAUGGACCUUAUGUUUGCAAAAAAGUGGAGGAGUCUUAACCUGCAAUAAGGUGGGUCCUGCUACGCUGGAUGUAGAUCAGGUGUUCUUGUAGCUCAGCAGUGGGAAAGAACCUCAAGCGGGAAUUUGAUCUUUCAGUUAAAGAGGAGGAAUGUUGGAGAGCUGUUGUCAGAGCUUUUACAGCAAACCAAGACUCAAGAGCCUACAGAUAUUAGGUCCUAAAAGGGCUUUUGAUUCUCCUGGAGGACAAGCCUGCAGACUUCUUUAAACCAUGCUUUGACUCUGAUGAUCCAGUCAUUCCACCACCUUGAAAUCCUAUUCUUAUUGCAGACAAAGCCUCAGUUAAGAUGAUCAUUGAGGGACAACUUGUGAUGGACUGCAUCAAAGACUUGUCAAAAGCUGUGCAUUCUCUUUGGACUACUAUACCCCAAGUCGACAAAGAACACUUUUCUCUUCAUCCAACAAAUUUCUCCUCAUGUUGGGCUACAGUGACUUAAAGCCCAAGCUACAGACAUUAAAUAAUUAAAUUGCUUUUCGAUUCACUGCAAAAUUUGCACAAUUGUUCUAUUAGCAAUGAUUGCUAAUGCCAGAAAGAAAUGUGAAUGAAACUUUAACAAA